AUUGAACGCUGGCGGCAGGCUUAACACAUGCAAGUCGAGCGGCAGCGGGAAAGUAGCUUGCUACUUUUGCCGGCGAGCGGCGGACGGGUGAGUAAUGCCUGGGGAUCUGCCCAGUCGAGGGGGAUAACUACUGGAAACGGUAGCUAAUACCGCAUACGCCCUACGGGGGAAAGCAGGGGACCUUCGGGCCUUGCGCGAUUGGAUGAACCCAGGUGGGAUUAGCUAGUUGGUGAGGUAAUGGCUCACCAAGGCGACGAUCCCUAGCUGGUCUGAGAGGAUGAUCAGCCACACUGGAACUGAGACACGGUCCAGACUCCUACGGGAGGCAGCAGUGGGGAAUAUUGCACAAUGGGGGAAACCCUGAUGCAGCCAUGCCGCGUGUGUGAAGAAGGCCUUCGGGUUGUAAAGCGCUUUCAGCGAGGAGGAAAGGUUGGUAGCUAAUAACUGCCAGCUGUGACGUUACUCGCAGAAGAAGCACCGGCUAACUCCGUGCCAGCAGCCGCAGUAACAC
rnacentral:rRNA from 1 species